GCAUUGGAGGUUCAGUGGUAGAAUUCUCAUCUCCCACACAGGAGACUCAGGUUCCAUUUCUGUCCAAUGCA
rnacentral:tRNA from 1 species